GAUGAACGCUAGCGGGAGGCCUAACACAUGCAAGCCGAGCGGUAUUGUUUCUUCGGAAAUGAGAGAGCGGCGUACGGGUGCGGAACACGUGUGCAACCUGCCUUUAUCUGGGGGAUAGCCUUUCGAAAGGAGGAUUAAUACUCCAUAACAUAUUGAUUGGCAUCAAUUAAUAUUGAAAGCUCCGGCGGAUAGAGAUGGGCACGCGCAAGAUUAGCUAGUUGGUGAGGUAACGGCUCACCAAGGCGAUGAUCUUUAGGGGGCCUGAGAGGGUGAUCCCCCACACUGGUACUGAGACACGGACCAGACUCCUACGGGAGGCAGCAGUGAGGAAUAUUGGUCAAUGGGUGCAAGCCUGAACCAGCCAUCCCGCGUGAAGGACGACUGCCCUAUGGGUUGUAAACUUCUUUUGUAUAGGGAUAAACCUACCCUCGUGAGGGUAGCUGAAGGUACUAUACGAAUAAGCACCGGCUAACUCCGUGCCAGCAGCCGCGGUAAUACGGAGGGUGCAAGCGUUAUCCGGAUUUAUUGGGUUUAAAGGGUCCGUAGGCGGACUUAUAAGUCAGUGGUGAAAGCCUGUCGCUUAACGAUAGAACUGCCAUUGAUACUGUAAGUCUUGAGUAUAUUUGAGGUAGCUGGAAUAAGUAGUGUAGCGGUGAAAUGCAUAGAUAUUACUUAGAACACCAAUUGCGAAGGCAGGUUACCAAGAUAUAACUGACGCUGAGGGACGAAAGGGUGGGGAGCGAACAGGAUUAGAUACCCUGGUAGUCCACGCCGUAAACGAUGCUAACUCGUUUUUGGGCUUUAGGGUUCAGAGACCAAGCGAAAGUGAUAAGUUAGCCACCUGGGGAGUACGCUCGCAAGAGUGAAACUCAAAGGAAUUGACGGGGGCCCGCACAAGCGGUGGAUUAUGUGGUUUAAUUCGAUGAUACGCGAGGAACCUUACCAAGACUUAAAUGGGAAUUGACAGCUUUAGAAAUAGAGCUUUCUUCGGACAAUUUUCAAGGUGCUGCAUGGUUGUCGUCAGCUCGUGCCGUGAGGUGUUAGGUUAAGUCCUGCAACGAGCGCAACCCCUGUCACUAGUUGCCAUCAUUCAGUUGGGGACUCUAGUGAGACUGCCUACGCAAGUAGAGAGGAAGGUGGGGAUGACGUCAAAUCAUCACGGCCCUUACGUCUUGGGCCACACACGUAAUACAAUGGCCGGUACAGAGGGCAGCUACACAGCGAUGUGAUGCAAAUCUCGAAAGCCGGUCUCAGUUCGGAUUGGAGUCUGCAACUCGACUCUAUGAAGCUGGAAUCGCUAGUAAUCGCGCAUCAGCCAUGGCGCGGUGAAUACGUUCCCGGGCCU
rnacentral:rRNA from 1 species